rnacentral:rRNA from 1 species
ACGAACGCUGGCGGCGUGCCUAACACAUGCAAGUCGAGCGGAGACAGUGAGUAGCUUGCUAUGAGCUGUUUUAGCGGCGGACGGGUGAGUAACGCGUGAGCAACCUUUCCCAGACAGGGGAAUAACACACCGAAAGGUGUACUAAUACCGCAUAAGACCACGGAAUCACAUGGUUCUGAGGUAAAAGAUUUAUCGGUUUGGGGUGGGCUCGCGUCCGAUUAGGUAGUUGGUGAGGUAACGGCCCACCAAGCCGACGAUCGGUAGCCGACCUGAGAGGGUGAUCGGCCACAUUGGGACUGAGACACGGCCCAAACUCCUACGGGAGGCAGCAGUGGGGAAUAUUGGGCAAUGGGGGGAACCCUGACCCAGCAACGCCGCGUGGAGGAAGAAGGUUUUCGGAUCGUAAACUCCUGUCCUUGGAGACGAGUAGAAGACGGUAUCCAAGGAGGAAGCCCCGGCUAACUACGUGCCAGCAGCCGCGGUAAUACGUAGGGGGCAAGCGUUGUCCGGAAUAAUUGGGCGUAAAGGGCGCGUAGGCGGCUCGGUAAGUCUGGAGUGAAAGUCCUGCUUUUAAGGUGGGAAUUGCUUUGGAUACUGUCGGGCGUGAGUGCAGGAGAGGUUAGUGGAAUUCCCAGUGUAGCGGUGAAAUGCGUAGAGAUUGGGAGGAACACCAGUGGCGAAGGCGACUAACUGGACUGUAACUGACGCUGAGGCGCGAAAGUGUGGGGAGCAAACAGGAUUAGAUACCCUGGUAGUCCACACAGUAAACGAUGAAUACUCGCUGUUGGCGAUAUACAGUCAGCGGCCAAGCGAAAGCAUUAAGUAUUCCACCUGGGGAGUACGCCGGCAACGGUGAAACUCAAAGGAAUUGACGGGGGCCCGCACAAGCAGCGGAGCAUGUGGUUUAAUUCGACGCAACGCGAAGAACCUUACCAGGUCUUGACAUCCACUUAAACUUACAGAGAUGUAAGGUGUGCUUGCACAAAGUGAGACAGGUGGUGCAUGGUUGUCGUCAGCUCGUGUCGUGAGAUGUUGGGUUAAGUCCCGCAACGAGCGCAACCCUUAUCUUCAGUUACUAACGCGUGAGGGUGAGGACUCUGAAGAGACUGCCGGGGACAACUCGGAGGAAGGUGGGGACGACGUCAAAUCAUCAUGCCCCUUAUGACCUGGGCUACACACGUGCUACAAUGGCCACGACAGAGAGAAGCGAAAUCGCAAGGUAGAGCGGAACUCAAAAAAGUGGUCCCAGUUCGGAUUGUGGGCUGCAACCCGCCCACAUGAAGUCGGAGUUGCUAGUAAUCGCGGAUCAGCAUGCCGCGGUGAAUACGUUCCCGGGCCUUGUACACACCGCCCGUCACACCAUGGGAGUUGGGAGUGCCCAAAGCCGGUGAGGCAACCGCAAGGAGCCAGCCGUCUAAGGCAAGACCAAUGACUGGGGUG